GGGUUUUUAAUUCAUAUAAAUUCAAAUAAAAUCUGCCUUACAAGCAGGGGGUCACUGGUUCGAAUCCAGUAGGGCCCACCC
rnacentral:tRNA from 1 species